GUUUCAGCAGCCGCGGUAAGACGGAGGGUGCAAGCGUUGCUCGGAAUCACUGGGCGUAAAGGGUGCGUAGGCGGCUUGGUUAGUCUGACGUGAAAGCCCGGGGCUCAGCCGCGGAAGGGCGCCAGAAACUGCCAAGCUAGAGGGCCGGAGGGGAGAGUGGAAUUCCUGGUGUAGCGGUGAAAUGCGUAGAGAUCAGGAGGAAUACCGGUGGCGAAAGCGACUCUCUGGACGGUCACUGACGCUGAGGCACGAAAGCGUGGGGAGCAAACAGGAUUAGAUACCCUCGUAGUCC
rnacentral:rRNA from 1 species